rnacentral:rRNA from 1 species
ACGGAAGGCAGCAGUGGGGAAUAUUGCACAAUGGGCGAAAGCCUGAUGCAGCGACGCCGCGUGAGUGAUGAAGUAUUUCGGUAUGUAAAGCUCUAUCAGCAGGGAAGAUAAUGACGGUACCUGACUAAGAAGCACCGGCUAAAUACGUGCCAGCAGCCGCGGUACUACGUAUGGUGCAAGCGUUAUCCGGAUUUACUGGGUGUAAAGGGAGCGCAGGCGGUACGGCAAGUCUGAUGUGAAAGCCCGGGGCUCAACCCCGGUACUGCAUUGGAAACUGUCGAACUAGAGUGUCGGAGGGGUAAGUGGAAUUCCUAGUGUAGCGGUGAAAUGCGUAGAUAUUAGGAGGAACACCAGUGGCGAAGGCGACUUACUGGACGAUAACUGACGCUGAGGCUCGAAAGCGUGGGGAGCAAACAGGAUUAGAUACCCUGGUA